CGCUGGCGGCGUGCCUAACACAUGCAAGUCGAACGCGAAAGUUUCUUCGGAAAUGAGUAGAGUGGCGCACGGGUGAGUAACGCGUGGAUUAUCUACCUACUGGUACGGGACAACAGUUGGAAACGACUGCUAAUACCGUAUACGCUGGUAACGGGAAAGGGGGCCUCUUCUUGAAAGCUCUCGCCAGUAGAUGAGUCCGCGUUUCAUUAGCUAGACGGUGGGGUAACGGCCUACCGUGGCAACGAUGAAUAGCAGGCCUGAGAGGGUGGCCUGCCACACUGGGACUGGAACACGGCCCAGACUCCUACGGGAGGCAGCAGUGGGGAAUAUUGCGCAAUGGACGAAAGUCUGACGCAGCGACGCCGCGUGGAGGAUGAAGGUUUUCGGAUCGUAAACUCCUGUCAAGAGGGAAGAAACCUAUUAUGAAUAAUACUCAUAGUAAUUGACGGUACCUCUAGAGGAAGCACCGGCUAAUUCAGUGCCAGCAGCCGCGGUAAUACUGAAGGUGCAAGCGUUAAUCGGAAUCACUGGGCGUAAAGCGCUCGUAGGUGGCUUUGUAAGUCAGGUGUGAAAGCCCACGGCUCAACCGUGGAAUUGCAC
rnacentral:rRNA from 1 species